AUGACCCAAAGAGACUAAUACAACCAGGGAAACAGAAACUUACUUAGUAAAGUGCACUGUUUGAAGUUGCUAGCAAAAUACCUUGGAACAUUUUUAGAUAUGCCUCAGUCAAAACAUAACCAUUGAAUUUUACAGGAUGACGACUUGAGCAACCACCUUAGACCCAGAGAUGGAAGCUGCGGCACGUUCCCCCAGUCGGGUCCUUGGAUGACUACGUGGAGCAAAGCCACAUACUCACUUCUAUCUCAUUUAAGCCAAUGUAUUUUGGAGAAAUUGAUUCUCUGCCAUUUUUUCACAUGACAACUAAGUUGCUCUCUCAACUAGCCUCCAAAUUAGAAAUGCCAUCUGGUUUCAUUAAAAAUAUAGUGGAAGAAACCUGAAUUCAACAGAACUCCUUUUUAGGUAUAUCUGAAUCACAGAUACACACAUAUAUGUACCCAGCAAAAAAUAACUUCUGUUUACAAACUCAAUUCAUUAAAAAGAGGCACGGUCCUUGGUAGCUUAAAAAGGGUGGUGGAAGGCUUUAUUAUAGCAAUAUUUAAUGCAAUGCAUACAGUAAUGUUCUAUAUCAUUAAUCUUCAAUGUGAACAGGUCAGCUUCAUAUAUUUAUCUUUUUUUUUUUUUUCCUGCAGACUGUACACAAGGGCAGGAGGCUUUUUGGUUUUAUAGGCCACACUUCUCUGGAUGUGCUCUCCUUUGAUGUUAACUACAUGUGGCUAGAGUGGGCGCCGGACCGUCAGAACUGUUCCUUGAGCACUAAGGACACAAAGAUAGCUAUUACAAUAUGUUCUAUAUGGUCCCUACCCCCGAGGAGAUCAGAAGGUGGAAACAGCAAGUAAAUAAACUACAAGGUAAGAAACGCGAUGAGAGGCAUCUACUAAGUACUGUGAUUGUGAAGGAAGUAAUGAACGUGGUUUGGUCAAGGAAAACAAUGAAGAGCAGAAUUUGAAAAAUAGAUUAAAGUUACUCAGUGGAAAGGUAUCCUGGGUUAGUAUCAUGUACAGACACAGAAAUUGGAAAAAGGAUAAUGAGUUCAGAGAACUGUGCAGAGUAUGUUAUGUGUGUGUGUGCAUUAGUGAUGAGGCUAUCAGUUUAGAGUUCUCUCAGUAAUGUGGAACUACCAAGGAAUUAUAAGCAGGAAAGAGAAAAGAAUCAAAAAGGAAUACUGCGGCCUGCUUUGUAUUUUGGAAAACUCUGCGUAGUGCAGGGUUUCUCAACCUCAGCACUAUUGACCUUUGGGGCCAAAUAAUUCUUUGUCCCGGGAGGCUGUCCUGUGCAUUGCACAAUUUUAAGCAGCCUCUACUCAGCAUCCACCAAGUUGUGAAAACCAAAAACGCCUCCAGUCUUUGUCAAAUGUUCCCUUGAGGUAAGAGUCAACCCUGGUUGAGAACUACAGCUGUGGUGGGGUGAGGGUGGGCAGAAGGCAGUGAAACUGGGAGCUGGGAAAAUACCUAAGGAUCUCAAAACAGCCUAAAGAAAGUAGAUUACAGUUUGGACUAUGAGGCUGGUCUCAGUGAUCAUCAGGAGGCGGGAUUGACUUUGACUUGGGAGGUGAGUAAGAAAACCAGAAGGCAAGGAUGAGCCACAGAGCAGCCCAAGAAACCAUUUGUAUUACACCGGGAGAGAAGCCUCAGUGUUGCUUUGAGAAGUAUCAGUGAGUCCACUCUGAAGACUACACAGAUGCAUGGGGGUGGAGCCCUACCCUGCAAAUCCUACAUGUCUCUGGAGUAUUAACUUUAGGGCAGUUAUUUCGAUGGAGUUUUAAUUUCACUCUGGCUUUCUUAGGAAAUCCAGAGAGAAAGAAGCAUUUACUUCCCAAGUCAGGUUGGUUUUAUCCUUGUUGAAGGGCGGGUGUGUAUUUUGUGUUUUGACUUAUUUUCAGUUGUAUGAGCAUUAAUUAAUGGUAAAUCACCUCUUCAUUGGACGUACCCGCUAUUUUUGCAGUAGGUAUGUCUCAUAAUCUUCAUCACCACAAAUACUUACGUAUCAGUGACAACAGUCCCCUUGCACUUGAUCUUCUCCACAACCUCGUGGUGUAGGUACAACAGAGAGAGGUAAAGGAAACUUACCUAAAGUCACACAGCUUCGUUAAGUGGUGCAGCAGAGCAGGAUUUGGACCCAUCCUGGCUCCAGAGAUCUUAACUAUCAUACACUACACACUAGCCAACAGUGUGUACCCAUGUCUGGUUAAAGAUCUGUAAACAGGCCCCAUUCAGUCUCUGGUGAACUUGGAACAAUUUCAGUGGCAUAGAAAGGGCACAACAGGGACUGCAGAGGAUGGGACGUGAGAAGCAGGAUUAAGCUUGAUUGUAAAGAGGAGGAAUGAGCGGGACACUGAGUUUUGUUUUGUUUUUUAAAGGUCAGAGAAAUUUUAACACACUCCUUAAGAGGUCAAAGGAAGGAGCAAGUAAAGCAGGAGAGAAGAGGUACGAUAACCUGUAUGUGCCUGGGAUUAAGAACCUGGGAAGAGAGCUUUUCCACUCAUACAAGGGCUUCUCAACUCAGCACUACGCACCUUUUGGACCAGAUAAUUCUGUGUUGUGAGGUGCUGUCUUGUGUAUCGCAUUACGUUUAGCAUCAUCUCUGGCUUCCACCCACUAGAUGCCAGAAGCGUCACCCAGCUGUGAGAAAAUCUGUAACUUCUCUUCACUCACAUUAUCCAGUACAACUUUCUGCAAUGAUGUGACCGCUGGGCAGUUGAAAAGUGGCUAGUGCAAGUGAAGAACUAAAUUUUAAAGUUUAUUUCAUUUUAAUUAACUUAUUUAAAUAGGCACAUGGCGCUACAAUAUUGGACAGUGUCACCUAGAGAAAACCCAGCUCUGUCACUAUUCUAGGAUCAGUCCAAUCCAGCAUCCCUUUUCUAUAAGAGCCCACCUCACGUUAUAGUCAAAAUCCUCAAGGUGGACAAGGUCGGGGGAGAGCUAGCUGAGAGUGUAACAAAGAUGGUUCUGUCCAACAAAGGCUUUUUUAGCAGGGCCGUGGGACUAUUACAGGGUGUGUUAACCUAACUAUCAAAGCGUGUUGCCUCACCUUGAGUAACGUAUGACCCCCGUGCUUCUGAUAUACAGUGUCCACCUUGUCCAUUGAAGUAAUGUGAACGGGAAGGAAGUUGGAAGCCACAACUGUAAGCCAAGUUCACUGAUUUUCCUUAAGAAAGGAAGAAGGAACUUAUUUUAUACAAUGAAAAACUACCGACCAGUAUAAAAUCGCUGUGUGUAUAAGUCAACCAAAGUUCUCUACAGAGAAAAACAGCUUUUCAAAGUUAAAUACUGGUUUCAAAGGAACAAAUGAGGUAUUUAGUUUUGCCUUCUAUGACAAACAGGGUCAUAGAAGCACCCAUUUUGCAAUUACUACAGACGUUUCUUAAAGCCACAUAUUUGACAUUUCUUCUCAGCAAAGCCACACAUCAUAUUGCAUUAAUGAAUUAUUCAAAUGUUAAAUCUGUAUAGUAAUCUCAUGAGUAAACUCAAGAUAUGAAGAGAAAGUGAGGGGUGGAGCUAGGUGUAGAAAGUGAAAGAAGGAUUUUCCGGAGAAAUAUACAAAGAACUAAAGCUACGAGGGAUACCUCCAAGAUAACAAACUACUUUGUCAUCUGGUUCACCUACAGUGCCUAGAAGAGGGACUGGUACAUAGAAGUACUCUAAUUAUUUCUGUUGGAAAGUUACUACAACAUAUACCGAAUUUCCAAGCACUAAACUGACACAGAAGAGAAAUGUGACCAAAGUAGGUAGAUAAUUUUUAAAGUGAAGGCUCCAGCCAGCCCCUAGUGGACAUUAAGGAAAGAUAUAGGAUUAGGUGCCUGAACCACGAUCAGACUUCCAGCGUCUCAGAAAACGAUGGGGACGGGCGCCCUAAGGCUCACCAGACCAUCUGGUCAAUAGCUUCGGCGCCCUUGGCGAUGAAGUAAUCGGACUCCAGGAGCGUGCUGAAGAGAGUGCACUUGCCAGCGUUGGUGGCGCCAACCAGGUAGACGUCGCCGCGGUAGCGUCAGGAACGCUGGAGCGCGGAGAUCAACUCUUCGACUCCAUAGCCAGUCUUGGAGCUGAUGAGCCGCACGUCUCUGAGCAUCGUGCUGGACUUGGGCGAAGGAUUCGCUUUCUCCUGCUCGUCCCGUGGCCGGUCCCCCUGGGGUGUUGUGGCCUUCGGUAGCCAGGGGGCGGCAGGAGCCCGGCGCGGGCACAGUCGUUCCACAGUCGCUCCUGGAGCCGCUGUCGGUAGCCGAGAUAUCCAGGGGCAGCAGAUUCACCUUGUUUCCCAGCAAGAUCAGCUGCUUGGGGCCCACCGGCGCGGGCAGGUGGGGCAGCAGGGCGUCGGGCAGAUCAAGCAGGUCCACCAUGUGUGGCACCAGGGCGAGACUGGGCCGCCGCAGCACGGCGGUCACCAGCUCCAGGUACUGCUUGCGGCUCACCUGCAGAUGCAGGGCGCGCCGGUGAAGCACCAGCAGUCAGCAGCGCUGGCAUACGGUCCGGGUGCAUCUGCCUGCCGUUCCGUAGUUCCUGCUGCCGCCGCUCCUCCCGCCGCUGCAGCACCGUCGCUCCUCCUCCUCCUGCCGCUGCUGCAGCUCCCGCAGCUGGUCCUGGAGGGUCACUGCGGGCUCCGGAUCCGGGACGUACUCGGGGAACAGAAAACUCUCCUCCAUGUCAGCCCUUCCUUGGUUAUCUCCAGUCGCUGUCGCGCCACGGGGAAGCCCACAUCCCAGGCCGGAUGGGUACAGGGAGGAGUUGGCCUCACAUCUCCUCUUAAGGAGCGUCUCCCAGAGGCCAUGGCCCGCUACCGUGGGAGUGGAUCCCCGCAGGAAGCUACAUAGCAGCCUACGAGUGAGGCCCGUGGGCAGCAUGAGAAACGCGGGCGUGGGCAAAAGGGGCUGAGCCACCUUUUCGCACGUGCUCUGUGGCCCCAUAUGUGAGUAAAACAGUAGAGACUACCUGAAAGCUGUCAUUUGUCAGCGUCUCACUUCGGCUCCUUCUCUCGCGUCUAAUCUCGUGAGUUCUCGCGAUGAAGGCUCUGUGGCCUGAGAGCCCAGUUGAAACCAAGAUAAAAGCACCGAGGACUUAGACUACGGUGGGUUGGUCGAAUAGGCUAGCGAGUGAGGGUUUGUUCACUUUCAGGCUUCUUCAACGCGCUGGCACCAUCUGCUGUGCUUUGUAUUUACAACAGAAAAAUAAUGAAGGAAAAGUCUGACGCUAAUCAGCUGGAGACACGGAGCAAAGAUAUGCAGUAUGAUGAGGAGGAAGAUGAAAUCCCCCAGAUUUGUGGCAAGAGGCAUGCUGGAUUGUAAUCAGCCAAGAUAUUUGCUGAAGUUUGAACAACUUUACCUCUCCAAGCCCAUAAGAGAUUGUGCUGCUUCACCAGUGUUGCCACGUGAAGCCAGAUUAAGAAAUCUCACCAACAGUCAUUAAAGAAGGUGAAGAACAACUUCAGAUGCAGCAUCAGAAAACUUUUAUUGGUAAAGUUCCAGUUAUGUUGCAUUCAAUUUACUGUCUACUAAAUGGCUUAGCAGAUCAUGAUCUUUGUGAGUUAAAUGGAUGCCUCUUGGAUCCUGAUGGCUACUUCAUUAUUAAUGGAUCAGAAAAGCCUACUCAAUGUGAAUCAAGACUACUAGGAUGAAGACCUUUGUGAUGAUCCACUUCUACUUAAUGAAUAGUAGACAGUCAUCAUGUGCUACAGUUAAUAAACUUAUCUGUUAUGUA